CUGAAUUGUCAACACGAGUUGUUGCUGGUCCUCAAAUGGGGGCAUGUGCACGCUCUGUUUACACAUCCACUCACACCUGUGCACCCUCUGUAGUUCUGUGUCUGGGGGGACUCUGUCCUCCUGGUGCGGUUCUAUAUCUUUACACACACUCUGUAUUAAAGUCUUAUGGAAUGCAAACCGCGUUUAACGCAAUACAAUA
rnacentral:misc_RNA from 1 species